rnacentral:rRNA from 1 species
GACAGAGGGUGCAAACGUUGUUCGGAAUUACUGGGCGUAAAGGGUGCGUAGGCGGUUGUUUAAGUCUGUCGUGAAAUCCCCGGGCUCAACCUGGGAAUGGCGAUGGAUACUGGACAGCUAGAGUGUGUCAGAGGAUAGUGGAAUUCCCGGUGUAGCGGUGAAAUGCGUAGAGAUCGGGAGGAACAUCAGUGGCGAAGGCGGCCAUCUGGGACAACACUGACGCUGAAGCACGAAAGCGUGGGGAGCAAACAGG